GGUUGUUUGGCUUAGUGGUUAACGAUGUAUUUGCGUUAUAUUUUUGUCUUUCGGAGAUCGCCUGUUCGAUUCCGGCGGUGUUCA